ACUCCUUCCGAGAUGUUCCUUUGAUGCUUGUAUACAAAAAUUACUUUUGCAAUCUAUAGACCUACAAAAAAAGUAUCCGUAAAUAACAAACAUGAACUAUCUCUGAAUAAUGAAAUAAGAAAAAUACACGCUCACAGCAGUCGGUGACCGGUGGCUACUUGUGUCUUCUCACCCUCUUCUUGAUAUCAGGGCAGCGAUUAGUCACCCCGUACUGGAGGAAUCUUUCUUCAACGAGUCGGACGGGAAGGAUUUACUUCGGACACCAGACAGGGCCCUCAUCCCCAUCAUUCUCAGGAGGAAAAGAUGGAGAUAUCAUGGACGACGGUCCGGGUGCCUUGUAAGGAUCCAUCACAGAGAGGGUAAUCUACCAUUACCAUCGGUCCUAUUAGCCAACGUACAAUCAAUCGAUAAUAAAAUAGACGAACUACGAGCACGUAUAUGCUACCAAUGGGACAUUAAAAACUGUAUUAUCUUA